AAUACUCUAAUCUACAUAAACAUUUGAGGAAAUAGAGAACCAACAAAAUUAGUUUGUGUUUGAAAUUUAUUAAAAAAAUGAAUGCUGAUCCCCAAGGAAGUUCAAAUGAUGAAAACUAAACAAGAAAACAAAAAAGAAAAACGUACCAAAAACCCAAGAUUCCCACAAAAAAACGGAUUCAAAAAUAACAGAAAAAAAUACCAAGGAAAAAAAUUAAAUAAUCUGAGUAAUUGAUCCUUCAGCUAUACUGGCAGCCUUUUCCAAGCUUUUCUUAUCACUAGAGCUAUCGUCGAAGCUAUUGCUGUCGAGUUUGCUGGCAUCAUAAAAUGUGCUCCACCUGGAGGCUGGAAUACUCAGCCAGCUAAUGAGACCAAAAAUUGUGAUAGCACCAAAUAUCACGGGAGCAUAGUUGAAAUUUUUACCUGUGACAGGAUAAGCUUUUGGCGAGAAUAAAAUAACGGCGGUAAAUAAAUUCCAUAAAAAGGUGAUAAGUUGAAAUGGCUUGGACAGUUUACCAAGAGACCAUUCUGAUUUUGGAAAAUCGUUUCUGGAUAAAAAUAGGCGACCAAAGGCAACAGCUGCGUAAGCCAUAAUAGUAGGAACAGCGGCGGCUGACAGUAAAGAUGUAAAAGCUACAGCACUAGGCAAAUUAGAGCACAAAAGUGCCGCUGAAAUCAAGAAAAUAAAUGUAACGGCAUUGGUCGGUUGACCAUGUGAAUCUACCUUUCUUAACCACCCGGAAAAUGGUAAAACGCCAUCUCGGGCAACAGCAAAUACUAAGCGGCUUGAAGCAACUAUCGAUAACGAAGUAUCAAAAAUCAUUCCCAAAAUACCUACAACAUUCAUAAAAACAUGAGCUCGUUUACCCAAAGCAUACGCAUAAAAACUAACAAAAGGUUGUUGAGAAUUGGACUUUAUAAGUUCAUACAUAACAUUGGAAGGAGGAAGACAGUAUAAAAACAUGACAAUGAUACCAGUGCUGAGAAUAGCAUUGCUAAAGGCAGAGUAAAACAUACCGCGAGAGGCAGUCUUGCUAGCAUUUUUGGUUUCUUCAGCGACGUGACCUGCAGCAUCAUAGCCUACCAAAAUGCGUGCUGUGCAGAAAAAGGUAAGACACCAAGACCAUCCAUUAUUUACUUUUCCAAGAUCGUAAUUCGUGGAUUUCAUAAAAGCUUCAUCUCUAAACCCGUAUUUGGUAGAAACGGCAAUGGGAAGCCAAAUCAUGUUUAAAACAAAGUCAAGCAAAAUCACUGCAACCGAUACUCUAAAAAUAUAGCGAAACCACUUGGGAGGAAUAAAGUUUAAUAAAACACAUACGAGUAGUAUAGCCUCGCCAACAGCCCAUUGAACAGCACGAAAUUUUACAUCAGAAGAACUGACGGAAAACCCAGAAUUGAAGACGGGCAACUCACCGAAAAUAAACUUGGUGGUAGAUUGGCAAUUAACAGCUACAAAUGAUGUCCAAGCUACUACUACCCACCAAGCGACUAUAAAUCCAAUCAGACGACCAUACUUUUUGCCGCCUGCGGCAGAGGCCCAAAAGUACAGAGAACCAGCGGUAGGAAGAGCAGAGCAUACCUCUGCCAUUGUUGCAGCAGAGAUCAGUUGGAGAGGAAUUGCAAUAAUAUACGUGAUCCAGUAAGCUGAAGGUCCACCAGUCAGUAGGCCGAUAUAAAAAGAGCCUCGAAUAUUGCUCAUACAGUCGCAUGCUGCAAAAGAGCUAGCAAAGUUCUCAAAAAAAGCGUAUGUACGAUGAAGCUUUGGUUUGUAUCCCAUUUUUUGUAAAAGCGCUUCAUCCUUCUUGAUCUCGCUAACAGCGACAUCGCUUUCGCCAACUUGACAAAUACCUUGUUCCUUCGAAUUACCGAACAGCCUCAUGUUAGAUAAAUCUUGGACUGGUAACGAACGGAUACUUGAAAUUUCGGUACAUUGUAUUUAAAAUAUAUAUACAUGACCGGAAAAGGGCAUCCUGAAACUCGCACUUUUAGUAUUCACCGGAUACAUGGUGUGCAAUAAUCAAAACAAAAAGUCCGCCUUUUAUCGCAUCUGAUAUUUCGAGAUAAUACUAGAUGAUUAGAUAAUAUGUUAAAUGUAUUUAACAGUUUUCAACAAAUUCGCAUUUUUUAGCACUGCUUCCAAAAAAAAAAAAGCAACAAAGUAAUUAUAUAUUUUAGGUAAAUAUACUAAUACUUAUAAUACCUUUCGGCAAGCUUAAGCUACAUACUUUGCUUUAACUGUUUAAAGGAUAAAUCACAUUGGCGUCAACUGUCUUUAGGCUAAAUUUAACAAAUUAUAAGAAAACUCGUAGUUAAAAGUUUGCACAAAACAAUGCUACCCAUAAUGAUUGACACGCUGUCAAAAGGAGUUUUGCUUCGCUUUAUUAAUUUCGCAGUACAUAGUAAGCAAUGGAGAACUAAAAGUAAAAAAAAGACCCAUUGAGUAAUUAAAAGAUUUGAAUGAAUGAAUAUUUAAAAAGAAAAAACAAGUGUGAUU